rnacentral:misc_RNA from 1 species
GAAAUGCGAUAAGUAGUGUGAAUUGCAGACUUUAGUGAAUCAUCGAAUCUUUGAACGCACAUUGCGCCCCUUGGUAUUCCAUUGGGCAUGCCUGUUCGAGCGUCAUUUACACCCUCAAGCUCACGCUUGGUGUUGGGCGUCUGUCCGCGCUUUCGGCGUGGACUCGCCCCAAAUCCAUUGGCAGCGGCUUCGCCGGCUUUUCGCGCAGCACUUUGCGCUAUUGAAGGCUUUCGGCGGGCUCGCGUCCAUCAAGUAACCCCUCAUUUUGACCUCGAAUCAGGUAGGGAUACCCGCUGAACUUAAGC